rnacentral:rRNA from 1 species
UACGUAGGGGGCAAGCGUUGUCCGGAAUCAUUGGGCGUAAAGCGCGUGUAGGCGGUCCGGUAAGUCCGCUGUGAAAGUCGGGGGCUUAACCCUCGGAUGCCGGUGGAUACUGUCGGGCUUGAGUACGGAAGAGGCGAGUGGAAUUCCUGGUGUAGCGGUGAAAUGCGCAGAUAUCAGGAGGAACACCCGUGGCGAAGGCGGCUCUCUGGGACGGUACUGACGCUGAGACGCGAAAGCGUGGGGAGCAAACAGG